rnacentral:piRNA from 1 species
CCCACACAGGAUGGAACUGCUACAC